CAUCAACGCCGGUUACUACGACAACCGUUACUGGGUUAUGUGGAAGCUCCCCAUGUACGGCUGCCAAAACCCGGAUGAAGUCAUUGCGGAAAUCAACACCUGCAUCAAGUGCUUCCCGGAUUGCUACGUCCGCGUCGCUGGCUUCGACAACAUCAAGCAAGUGCAAUGCUCCGCGUUCUUGGCUCACCGCCCGGCGUCCGAAGCUGCGUGCGCCGUUGACCAGCGCCAAGUCCAAGGGUAAACGUCUCGACGUUUCCUGCGAACGCCCGCGCGCGUCUGUAGACGCGCGCUGCCGCGGACUCACGCUCGUGUAGAGAUGU
rnacentral:lncRNA from 1 species